GAUGAACGCUAGCGGCAGGCCUAACACAUGCAAGUCGAGGGGUAGAAGGAGCUUGCUCCUUUGAGACCGGCGCACGGGUGCGUAACGCGUAUGCAAUCUACCUUGUACAGGGGAAUAGCCCAGAGAAAUUUGGAUUAAUGCCCCAUAGUAUAUAACCUUCGCAUGUUGGUUAUAUUAAAGUUCCAACGGUACAAGAUGAGCAUGCGUCCCAUUAGUUAGUUGGUAAGGUAACGGCUUACCAAGACGAUGAUGGGUAGGGGUCCUGAGAGGGAGAUCCCCCACACUGGUACUGAGACACGGACCAGACUCCUACGGGAGGCAGCAGUGAGGAAUAUUGGUCAAUGGUCGCAAGACUGAACCAGCCAUGCCGCGUGCAGGAAGACGGUCCUAUGGAUUGUAAACUGCUUUUAUACAGGAAGUAACCCUCCCACGUGUGGGAGCUUGACGGUACUGUAGGAAUAAGGAUCGGCUAACUCCGUG
rnacentral:rRNA from 1 species